rnacentral:rRNA from 1 species
UACGUAGGGCGCAAGCGUUGUCCGGAAUUAUUGGGCGUAAAGAGCUCGUAGGCGGUCUGUCGCGUCUGCCGUGAAAACCCGAGGCUUAACCUCGGGCUGGCGGUGGAUACGGGCAGACUAGAGGUAGGUAGGGGAGAAUGGAAUUCCCGGUGUAGCGGUGAAAUGCGCAGGUAUCGGGAGGAACACCGGUGGCGAAGGCGGUUCUCUGGGCCUUACCUGACGCUGAGGAGCGAAAGCGUGGGGAGCGAACAGG